AGUGAUAUUUAUGUCAAAAUAAACUAGUAGGCACUAGGCAGUCCGCAGUAUUCAGUAACUGCAAUUUACAAACCAUUAAUGAUUACUGUUCUAUGAACAGUAUUCAGUAGUCCUUUCAGGCAUUACCUACCUAAAUUUGCAAUAUGAGUACGCUACUUAGUAGUUCUUCCUUGCCUUUGUCAAUAUGAACUAUAGCAUAUCUCGCUGAUAGAUAGAUAAUUAGAUACAUACAAAUUGUAGUUGAUUUGACAGAAAAAUAUUGUACCGAAAAUGUUGAGCUCCGUAAUUGUUAUGUGUAUGAAGAUCUGCUUUGGUCUAGAAAGUGCCCAAUUUUUACCAUUUGUUUAUUGUAAAGUCCAAAGCGUUUGCCGUCCAACACAAGGAGCGAUUUGUUUUGACUACACUUAUUAUUUAUUGUGUUAUUCAGUAUUGAUGUAACAUUUAGGGAUGCGCAAGAUAUUGUCAAAAAAGUAUGAUAUUAAAAAUUUCAUGACCACCUAAUAAUAUCCUGUGAAAAAAAAUAUACUUCCAAAAAUACAAAAUAUAAGAGCAUCAAAGGAUAAUAAUUGUGAAUGACGUCAUUGGUUUCUAUGGUUGUGAUUCACUGGAUCAUAUAUCAGAAAUUGCCUAAAUGUUACAGGAAAUAUUACUAUAAUAGGAUAAUUGAGAACUGAGAACUUCAUUCUCUUAGUAAACUAAUGGAUUAGCAGCAGAUAUUUAAUCAAACACCAUAUGAAGUCACAAUGUUGCAUUAUUAUCAGACGACCUUAGAACACUUUCAGUGAUUUGUUAAAGAACAUUAUAGCUACUGAGUCAUUAAAGAAUUGUAUUGGUGGUUCAUAUUUUUGGUACAAUGUGAAAUAAUCUGAGCCAAAAUUACACUAUAGAACAGCAAUAUAAUAUAUUUAAACGACAGAGAACCGACAUCUGUAAUUUCUUUACCAUUCAAGAAACUAAUGUGAUUAAUUAUGAAAUGUUAUAGCUCCUAUUAGAAUGUUAUAGCCCUGAUCGUCAAGCCUAGCAAUGGUGGUAGGCUCUAACCAAACACUCUGUAGCCCUUCAUUAUACAUUGGAACUGAAAAUAAAAGUUCUGAUAAGAACAUCACAUAAGUGGUCGGUUGAAACAUACAUCUAAUUGAAAAAGAACGUAAAACGACAUUCAGCAAGUUGAAACAUUAAAAGGCUUUCAAAGCGGUAUAUUCGCAGGAUAAUGAAACAGUUAUGCCACAUGCAUAACUCAUCCCCGAAAAGAACUUUUUUACCAUACCUCCAUGACGUCGUCCUAUACUCAUCUCACUUCAUGUCCAGUUGCAAAAGGAUCUGAAUUGCCUUAAGGCGCCUGCUAAAAGUGAGUCUCGGACCACGAAUUUAGGACGUCGUGGACGAAGAAGGGAUUGCCAGCGGCGGCCUCCGACGCUCUCUCGCGAGGGAUGUCGCUUUUACCGGUGUAACGUUCCUACUACUAUUAUAAUCUGACGACGCGGUGAUCCUAUUUCUAAACGUAACGUCAUCUUCCGGGUCGAUGAGAACGUGUUUGGAGCGUCUCCUAAAACGCUUGUGAAAUUUAUUCGGACUAUUGUUGACGAUUUCCGCCACCAGAGGGUUGGGGUGAUAGCAGCUCUUUCGAAGUACCUCACGGACAGUACUUUGAAAUACUGCUGAAUAGAUGGAAGGUCAAGGUCUCUGUGGAGGUUGACGUUACGCAUGUACCACAGGGCGCCCGUGAUCGUGCGUAGGAAACGGUUUUGGAGUGUCUGAAGAAGUUUCAAACUCCGAUGAGCGAAUGCUACGUUAGCGUUGGACAGUAUUGCUGUUAUGCAAGUUUUGUAUAACGUCAUCUUAUUUCUAAGUGACAUCUUACUCCGUUUGCAUAGAACAGGAUAGAGGCGACUGAGGAAGAAAAAGGCUCGGUUUGUGAGUUUUUUAAUGUGUGAAGCGAAUGACAUUCGUCUGUUUAACGUCACACUCAGGUAAUUGGUUUCCGUCCGCCAGGACAUAAGUGUAUCGAAUAUGGAUAUUUGAGGGGGGACACCGAUAUAACGCCCCCGUUUGAAGUACACGGCCGUACUCUCCUCGGGGUUUAGAGCGAUCCUGCAUUCCCGAAACCAGUCGCAUAGGGCGGUGGUUGCGGCUUGGAGUCGAAGGUGAAUUGUGACAGGAUGUCGGUUAGUGGUGUAAAUAGCGGUGUCAUCCUCGACAAGGUCCAUCUUAGAGGGAUUAGGAGGCCUGGGUAUGUCGCUAGUAAAAAUGGAGUAUAAUGUGGGAGAUAUCAUUGAGCCUUGAGAGACUCUGACUCUGAUAGGUCGAGGAGACGAGAGCUCCCUCUCCAUUCGGUAGCAGAAGGAGCAAUGCGACAGAUAGUCUCGUAUGAUGAGUACAAGCCUGCCUGAGCUACUUUUGAGUUGGUACAACUUGUAUACCAAGCCAUCCUGCCAGACCCUGUCGAACUACCCGGUUUGUGAAUGCCUAUGACAAUGGCCUCUUUGCAUUGAUCCGGAAACUAGCAUCCGGUCAACAGAGCAUUGAAUACGCAUGCCAGUAGGUUAACGAGGCGGGGCGGGAGAAAUUAGAUCACUUUAUUAAUAACUAUCUAAUCCUUUGGACUUCUUGAUGUAAAACUGUAUUAUUUUAAUAACUGAGUGAAUGGUUUAUUGAAAUUAAACAAAAGAAAA